UGGAUAGCGCUAAAGAUGUGAUGGCUGGAGCUGUGGCAGCCAGUUAGGACCAUGUGGAAGAAGGCACUGCUGGCAAUGACAGAGCAACAAAGUAUGUGAAGCCCGGGAUUCUGAUGAUCAUGGAGGAAGCUCAGUGUUAAAUCUGAAGCUAAACUGAAGAAACUAUGUGGUCUCUUACGACUGGUUGCCACAACAGAUGUUGCCAGGUGUCCUUGGAUAGUGACCUCCCAUAUGAAGCCACUUUCCUCUGAUCAGGCCUGACAGCUUCACACUGUGGAGGGAGCUGAGAACAAUAAUCUUUCAAGGAACAGAAAACCAGACGCCACAUGUUCUCACUUAUAAGUGGGAGCUAAACAAUGAGAACACAUGGACACAGGGGGGGGAACAACACACACUAGGGCCUGUUGGGGGUGUGGGGUCAGGGGAGGGAGAGCAUUGGGAAAACUAGCUAACACAUACUGAGAUUAAUACCUAGGUGAUGGGUUGAUUGGUGCAGCAAACCACCAUGGCACAUGUUUACCUAUGUAACAAACCUUCACAUCCUGCACAUGUACCCCAGAACCUAAAAGUAAAAUUAAAAUAAAAAAAAUCUUGAGCAUUC
rnacentral:lncRNA from 1 species